rnacentral:RNase_P_RNA from 1 species
CAAGUAGAAUAAAUGAUCGCGGCUGCCAUACGGCAGGUGAGGAAAGUCCGGGCUUCAUAGGGCAGAAUGCCGGAUAACGUCCGGUGGAGGUGACUCCAAGGAUAGUGCAACAGAAAUAUACCGCCAAUUUUGGUAAGGGUGGAAAGGCAGUGUAAGAGACUACCGCCUGCCCGGUAACGGACAGGGCACAUGUAAACCCCAUUCGAAGCAAGACCAAAAAGAAAGCGUUUAAACCGGCCCGGUGAGCUUUCAGGUAGGUCGCUUGAUGCUACCGGUAACGGUAGUACUAGAUAGAUGAUCAUUCACGACAUAACCCGGCUUAUCGUUCUGCUUGAUUU